CCUACGGGAGUCAGCAGUGAGGAAUAUUGGUCAAUGGGAGGAAUCCUGAACCAGCCAUGCCGCGUGCAGGACGACGGCUCUACGAGUUGUAAACUGCUUUUGUACCGGGGUAAAAUGCUCUACGAGUAGGGUUUUGAAUGUACGUGACGAAUAAGCAUCGGCUAACUCCGUGCCAGCAGCCGCGGUAAUACGGAGGAUCCGAGCGUUAUCCGGAUUUAUUGGGUUUAAAGGGUGCGUAGGUUGUUUUAUAAGUUAGCGGUGAAAUACCGAUGCUCAACAUCGGGGCUGCCGCUGAUACUGUAGGACUAGAGAUCGGAUGAAGCAGGCGGAAUGUGUGGUGUAGCGGUGAAAUGCAUAGAUAUUACACAGAACACCGAUUGCGAAGGCAGCUUGCUAGGCCGGAUCUGACACUGAUGCACGAAAGCGUGGGGAUCGAACAGGAUGAGAUACCCGUGUAGUC
rnacentral:rRNA from 1 species